rnacentral:rRNA from 1 species
UACAUGGGGUGCAAACGUUGCUCGGAAUCAUUGGGCGUAAAGCGCGCGUAGGCGGUUACUUAAGUUGGAUGUGAAAGCCCUCGGCUUAACUGAGGAAGUGCAUCCAAAACUGAGUAGCUAGAGUACGAAAGAGGGUCGCGGAAUUCCCGGUGUAGCGGUGGAAUGCGUAGAGAUCCGGAGGAAGACCGGUGGCGAAGGCGGUCUGCUGGGCAGUUUCUGACACUGAUGCGCGACAGCGUGGGGAGCAAACAGG